GAGAGGGUGUAUAGGGGAUAAGGCAUGAUGUUCAUUAAACAGGAACGGAUCACCAAACCGGCCAACCUUUAGAAUAUGCGCUGUUUUAGGCUGGGGAUUCACAGUUAUCUUCUACAGUAGGAGGGGGAAUAUCUUUCAUUGAAAUAGUAUACAUGUUACAGUUUUUGUUAGUGUCAGAUACAUAAAUGUUUAUGUACCUAGGACUCAUAAAACACACAAAACCGUAACAAAAAUUUAAUGGUUUUGCAAUGUAUGUUCAAUGGCAUAAUUACGCAAAUUACAUAACCGUUUAUGAUCGUUCCCGAGUAAACAUUUGCUAAACAUAAUUAUUAUAGAUCUAGAUCUUGAGCAUAACAUUGCAGUUUUACCUGCCAACAGCUAGAACAAUUUCUCUAGCUUUAGUAGUUGCUGUGUAUUGUUCCUUAUCCCUGCUUGUAUAAUUGUUUUUAUCGCAUUAAUCGUUUCUUGUUGUCCUAGUGAACCAAUUUCAACAGUAUUGUAAGUUACUGACCAACCACUAUUUGAUGUUAUCUUCAAAGAGACUCGGGUAUACUCUGUUUUCUUUGUCUAUUAUAGCCUGUUUUAAAUUAUCUAGUGUAUUGUUUGCUCUAACACCUGAAUCACAUCAGAUACGAUACUAAGUCUGGUCUUAAAGAGUGAUCAGAUGGUUAUUGAGGAUGGUAUUGUAGCUUGAGGUGAAUCAGUGUACAUGAUUGCUGAUAGUACCAAAAGACUCUUCACAAGCUUUUCAAAACUGAAUCAUGUUGCCAGGUGUAUCUACUUUUUGUUGAGUGCUUUUGUGAAACUACUUAGUAUGUGAGCUGUUAUAGGUUUGGUUUUUUAUAGUUAACACCUACUAUCACACUGUAUUUUUGUCCUUCUCUUUAACGUUCAUAGCUGCAACUAAGUUAUAGGAAGAGUGUCAGAACCCGCCUUAAAAGGAAAGAUAGUCGAUUCUGAGUCCAAUAUGGAUGCAUGGUGAUAGAUCGCUGAGUAGAGAGGCAUCAUCAAUUAGACGCUGCCAACAUGCAUAUCCUGUGUCAUAUAUGCUGGUUUCCAAGUAGCAGCAGCCAAUGCCAUUUGAUCAUCUACGUGUCGUAAAAGGGAGUACACCAACUAGAGUACAAUACAUGGUAUACACACUUCCAAAAUAGUCGUACGUCAUAUAUAUGUUGGUUUACAAAUAUACACACUGUCAAAAUAGUUGUGGUCAUAUGCUGGUUUCCAAGUAGCCAAUGACAGUUAUGUGUCAUAACAGGACUACAUUGAACCGGAGUACAAUGACUUCUGCAUGUUAUGACACAUAUAAACAUGAAUUAGAGUACAAUACAAAGGAAGCAUCUUACACUUUGGCAGUGUGUACAUAUUAUAGUAUAUAUACACACUGCCAAAGUAGUCCUUCGUCAUAUAUACUGGUUUCCAAGCAGCAGCCAAUGACAUUUGAGCAUAGUACAUGAAUUAUAAAGAUUUUGUGUUUUACAAAUACACACUGCCAACAUAGUUGUGCGUCAUUUCCAGUCAUCAGAAGUACAUGAAGGGGAGCAGCGAUACAUGGUCAUGUCAACCCACACAUUUUACAUUACUACAAGUGUUUGUGACGUAUACUCAUGCAAAACAAGUAUUUAUAUGGCGUGUAUAUAUAGAAGUUGCUUAUACUUUCCUUCAUGUAUACUCCUGGUUGCCAGCCAUAAUGACAUCCAAGGGAUUGGAAUGAGAUUCAUCAUACAAUAGAACCUACAUUUCACCGUGUGAGCGAUUAGUAUAUAAAACCCUCAACUAAGUGACCAUUAUAUUUUCGUAAAUUGGUAUAGUAAGUCUCAUCAAAAUGGCACUGAAAGCUGUUCUCUUCAUAAUUGUGACUCUGGCAAUAGUCGGCAAAGCUACCUCGGAGAGCUGUGGUGCUCAGUUCAGAAGUUUAGUUCACAAAACAAUCAGUCUAAAGGAGAGCUGUGAUGAUGCUGUGUUUAAUGACUGUUGUCAGAUUGCAAAGGUUUCCAGAAUAUACACCAGCAAGCCGUUGGAGUCAGGAAUUUACGACAUAAGUCCCAACAAAACCAUGCCCGUCAUGUUCACCUAUUCUUCAAAAAUGAAAGCUAGGUGCAAUAUGGAAAGCAAUGACGGAGGUUGGACUGUGCUUGUUCGAAGAGUUCUAGGCGGCAACCUUACAUUUGGAAGGGGGUGGACUGAAUACGAAAACGGAUUCGGUGAUUUGAAUACUGAGUUUUGGUAUGGCCUUAAAAACAUGUAUUAUCUUACGAAUCUUGAGCCAAUGGAAGUAGAAGUAGAAUUUAAACAAGUCGGAAGUGCUAAAAUCGUUCUAGGUUAUGGUCAUUUCUUAAUUGACGGUCUGGAUACAAAAUACACGCUCCACGUGUCUCAGCCAAAACAGACAGGAGGAUUUGAUUCGUUCGCUCAUCACAACGGCAGAAAAUUCUCAACAAAUGACAGUGAAAAUGACGAUCACGGUUCUAAUUGUGUUCAGAGCUAUGGUGGCGGUGGGGGGUGGUGGUUUGGAGCCUGCUGGGAUCUAACACUAACAAACACAAAACCAAGCAUGCAUGUUGGGGGAGACAGGUAUGUAAAUUAUGAUUUUGCAGAGCUAAGGAUUCGACCAAAGACCUGUGUGGAGAAAACCUGUGUUUAGCUCGAGAUCUAUACAGAUGAGAGAUAAUUUAAACUGACAUGCAGAGACAGAUUAAUACUUACAGCUAGUGUAUAGUCGCAUGCAAUGGUUGGUAGCAGUAUAGUAUAGAACUGUAGCAGUAGCUAUGUAUAUAAAUAUUAUGAUUGUAAUUUCAUUAUGAAUGAGUUUAUAAUUAUAUAAUUAGAUCACAAUACUA